rnacentral:rRNA from 1 species
UACAGAGGGUGCAAGCGUUGUUCGGAAUUAUUGGGCGUAAAGCGCGUGUAGGCGGCUUUGCAAGUCGGGUGUGAAAUCCCUCAGCUUAACUGAGGAAGUGCGCCCGAAACUGCAGGGCUUGAGUGCCGGAGAGGGUGGCGGAAUUCCCCAAGUAGAGGUGAAAUUCGUAGAUAUGGGGAGGAACACCGGUGGCGAAGGCGGCCACCUGGCCGGUAACUGACGCUGAGACGCGAAAGCAUGGGGAGCAAACAGG